rnacentral:rRNA from 1 species
UGACGUUCCAGGUGCGAAAGCGUGGGUAGCGAACGGGAUUAGAUACCCCCCGGUUAGUUCCCACCCCCGUAAACGAUGCGAAUUAGGUGUCGGUAGUAUUGACCCCUAUUCGGUGCCGUAGCUAACGCGAUAAGUUCCGCCGCCUGGGGACUACGGCCGCAAGGCUAAAACUCCAAAGGAAUUGACGGGGGCCGCACAAGCAGCGGAGCGUGUGGUUUAAUUCGAUGCAACGCGAAGAACCUUACCUGGGCUUGACAUGACCGUAGUAGUGAACCGAAAGGGGAACGAGCCUUCGGGCAGCGGUCACAGGUGCUGCAUGGCUGUCGUCAGCUCGUGUCGUGAGAUGUUGGGUUAAGUCCCCGCAACGAGCGCAACCCUUGCUACUAGUUACCAUGUGUCUAGUGGGACUGCCGGAGUCAAACCGGAGGAAGGUGGGGAUGACGUCCAAGUCCAGCAUGGCCUUUAUGUCCCAGGGCUACACAC